CCUACGGGAGGCAGCAGUGGGGAAUAUUGCACAAUGGGGGAAACCCUGAUGCAGCGACGCCGCGUGAGCGAUGAAGUACUUCGGUAUGUAAAGCUCUAUCAGCAGGGAAGAAAAGGACGGCAUCUGACUACGAAGCCCCGGCUAACAACGUGCCAGCAGCCGCGGUGAUACGGAGGGAGCACGCGUUAACCGGAUUUACUGGGUGUAAAGGGAGCGUAGACGGUACUGCAAGCCAGGUGGGAAAGCCCGGGGCUCAACCCCGGGACAGCAUUUGAAACUGGAGGGCUAGAGUGUGGGAGAGGCAGGCGGAAUUCGUGGUGUAGCGGUGAAAUGCGUAGAUAUUAGGCGGAACACCAGUGGCGAAGGCAGCCUGCUGGAGGAUGACUGACGUUGAGGCUCGAAAGCGUGGGGAGCGAACAGGAUUAGAUACCCGAGUAGUC
rnacentral:rRNA from 1 species